rnacentral:rRNA from 2 species
GCAUCCGUAGCCGGCUGUUCAAGUUUCCGGUUAAAUCCACACGCUUAACGUAUGGGCUGCCGGAAAUACUGUUCAGCUAGGGAGUGGGAGAGGUGGACGGUACUCGGUAGGAAGGGGUAAAAUCCUUUGAUCUAUUGAUGACCACCUGUGGCGAAGGCGGUCCACCAGAACACGUUCGACGGUGAGGGAUGAAAGCUGGGGGAGCAAACCGGAUUAGAUACCCGGGUAGUCCCAGCUGUAAACGAUGCAGACUCGGUGAUGCAUUGGCUUGUGGCCAGUGCAGUGCCGCAGGGAAGCCGUUAAGUUUGCCGCCUGGGAAGUACGUACGCAAGUAUGAAACUUAAAGGAAUUGGCGGGGGAGCACAAGC